rnacentral:rRNA from 1 species
AACGAACGCUGGCGGCAUGCCUAACACAUGCAAGUCGAACGAGACCUUCGGGUCUAGUGGCGCACGGGUGCGUAACGCGUGGGAACCUGCCCUUAGGUUCGGAAUAACUCCCCGAAAGGGGUGCUAAUACCGGAUAAUGUCUUCGGACCAAAGAUUUAUCACCUUUGGAUGGGCCCGCGUUGGAUUAGCUAGUUGGUAGGGUAAAAGCCUACCAAGGCGACGAUCCAUAGCUGGUCUGAGAGGAUGAUCAGCCACACUGGGACUGAGACACGGCCCAGACUCCUACGGGAGGCAGCAGUGGGGAAUAUUGGACAAUGGGCGAAAGCCUGAUCCAGCAAUGCCGCGUGAGUGAUGAAGGCCUUAGGGUUGUAAAGCUCUUUUACCCGGGAUGAUAAUGACAGUACCGGGAGAAUAAGCUCCGGCUAACUCCGU